AAUUCCCAGAAAGAAAGAGUUAUUAAAAGAAACCAGACAAAUCCACAAAUGGUCUCCCUCAAUGACAUCUAAAACAUAUCACUAGCUUGUGUUAUUGUUAUCACUUAUAUUGCAAUAGUGCCUGCAUCCUUCUUACCAGAUCUGGACCCCAUUGUGCUAGGCAUGGUACAAACAUAUAGCCAACACCAGUCUAACAUCAGCUCAAACUGGGAAGCAGUCUGAUCCAACAGACUGAGCAAUGGACUGGGAGCCUGGGACCACAAACACCAAUUCUUCCUCUUCCACCAACUUAUGUGACCCUGGGUGAGAAAUUUUACUUCUCUGUGCCUGUUUUCCCAUCUGCAAAAUGGGAAUUUUGAUACUUACCCACCUCACAGAACAAUUUUAUGCUUGUAAAAUAAAUUUUAAAUAUUAACAAAAUUUUAAAAUUUUAUUUUUACCAAGCCUAAAUUUGGGGUCUAAGGUGCUUAGGAGUGUCCCUUUAAAUCUCAGAAUGAGAAAGAAGCCAAGGGAGGCUUUAUUGUUCUGAAAUUGCAGGCACUAUCUGCCCCAUUGUCAUCAACUAGGAGAAGAGGGAAAUAAAGAAAGACUGGCCUUCCUGUUUAGGAAAUGUGUUUAGUAUUUCUGAUGGGUUGUUGAUCAAAGACCAAGAAAAGAAUAAAAUCUUCUCACUUUUAGCAUUAAAAUGACACUUCUACUUAAAAACAAUAGUGACUCUUGGGUGGCGGAAGGGAAGAAUGGAUUGCAGCUUUUUCCUCCUCUUGGCCAACUUGAACACCAAACAGGAUGGACCUUCUCCUGAAACCUGUGUACGCACAUACUCUGGAUUGGGAUCAGGGCUAGACUUUACUAAAACUGGGUCACCAUUUCUUAAAAUAUUCUAUCUUGGAGGGGACUAGACAGCUCAGAGUGGCUGCUAAGUACUUUCUAAAAUCAGGCCCCUCUGAUAUGUGUCACACUGGGUACCCAAAAAAUG